GAUGAACGCUGACAGAAUGCUUAACACAUGCAAGUCAACUUGAAUUUGGGUUUUUAACUUAGGUUUGGGUGGCGGACGGGUGAGUAACGCGUAAAGAACUUGCCUCACAGCUAGGGACAACAUUUGGAAACGAAUGCUAAUACCUAAUAUUAUGAUAAUAGGGCAUCCUAUAAUUAUGAAAGCUAUAAGCGCUGUGAGAGAGCUUUGCGUCCCAUUAGCUAGUUGGAGAGGUAACGGCUCACCAAGGCGAUGAUGGGUAGCCGGCCUGAGAGGGUGAUCGGCCACAAGGGGACUGAGACACGGCCCUUACUCCUACGGGAGGCAGCAGUGGGGAAUAUUGGACAAUGGACCGAGAGUCUGAUCCAGCAAUUCUGUGUGCACGAUGAAGUUUUUCGGAAUGUAAAGUGCUUUCAGUUGGGAAGAAACAAAUGACGGUACCAACAGAAGAAGUGACGGCUAACUACGUG
rnacentral:rRNA from 1 species